CAGGGAACACCAGCGACGUGGAGAACCACUGCAGGAUCAUCACACCGCUUAUUUUGCCCGAGUCACUACAGGAUUAAGACGCUCCCACGGAAGGAUCGGGAUGCUUCAGGCGGGGUUGGGUGAACUAGGACUAUUUGGCAGGCAAGAAGAUACAUGAAGAUAGUCCAAAGGUGGACAAAGACGUACAGGAGAGGAGACAAGGAGGGAGCUGAGGGCGGGGGUCCUCCAGCACAGAGGUGCCCCCUGUCCUCCAGCACCUGCUGCUGGCUCACGUCCGACAUCGAAGACACGGCCGGCCCGUGUUGUUGCAUGUCAAUUAAGGCCCCAGAAGACCCAGACUUAUGCGCUUGUGUCCGGGUGCACACCAAUCUUCGCUCCUGGGAGUGAGAAGAAAGGAGGUCAGAGCAUUUCCAAGGGGAUCACGGACAUCUCAUAGGGAUGGGCACCACGGAAGCCACUCUGAGAAUGGAGAACAUGGAAGUCAAGGACGAGUGGCAGGAUGAAGACUUCCCCCGACUUCUACCAGAGGAAGGAGACAUGGACGCCUCGUGCAGCCUCACGGACAACAGAGGCUCACCUCCCGCCUCCUUAAACCUGAGCCCGCCCGGAGGAGGCGCCGGGGUGUCGUCCUCGCACCGUAAAAGGCGUACGCUGGUUGCCCCGGAGAUGAACCUGUCCCUGGAUAAAAGCGAAGGUUCUCUGCUGUCCGACGACUACCUGGACACGCCCGAUGACCUGGACAUUAACGUGGACGACAUGGACACGCCGGAUGAGACCGACUCCUUGGAGUUCAUCACCAAUGGCAACGACCUGGAAUGGGAAGAUGAUGCCCCCGUGGCCUCCGCCAAAGCUGGUCCCGCCGGCCGUUCAGCGGACUUGGACGAGGAGGCAAAUGCCAACAACACCCGCCUUUGGAGGACGGUGAUCAUUGGGGAACAGGAGCACCGGAUCGACAUGCAGAUCAUCCGACCGUACCAGAGAGUCAUCACACACGGAGGUUAUUUUGGUGAGGGCCUCAACGCCAUCAUCGUGUUCUCCGCCUGCUACCUGCCCGACAGCAGCAUCCCAGACUACCACUACAUCAUGGAAAACCUCUUCCUGUACGUGGUGAGCAGUCUGGAGAUGCUGGUGGCCGAGGACUACCUGAUUAUCUACAUGAACGGAGCCACGCCCAGGAGUAAGAUGCCCGGGAUUAGCUGGCUCAAGAAAUGCUACCAGAUGAUCGACAGAAGACUGAGGAAGAACUUGAAGUCGUUGGUCAUUGCCCACCCCACUUGGUUCAUACGCACUGUCCUGGCAAUAUCACGGCCCUUCAUCAGUGUGAAGUUCAUGAACAAGAUCCAAUACGUCCACAGCCUGGACGAGCUGGCCCAGAUGGUCCCCAUGGAGCACGUCCAUGUCCCGGAGUGUGUUGUGCAGUUUGACGAUGAGAGGAUUCAAGCCCGGAAGGAAAGGAUAGAGCAAGAGCAACAGUCAGUCCCACAAGAACCAAUCAAGAAAAAAACGCAAAGUGGCAACUCCGCGCAGCAAGUGCGCCGCUAAGCGUGACACUUGACUCCUCCAUGAAUUCCAUCAGAGACACUGGCGGUCCCCACACCCCUCCGACUUUCAGGGCCCCAUGAAUCAUGUCAAGCUCAAGAGAGGCAACUUCUCCACAUGUGCUUCCAUGUUUGGUCACCAUCCAGAUGCUCAGUAGCAAAUUCCCUGUACUCAACUCUCAUGCACUCUCAUGCACUUCACUGUACGCUCAUUGUAGCGUGGUAGCAUUUGCAAAGGAGCUUCUUUCGGACUCUCGCCAGUGAACUCUUUGGAAGACUCCUACUUUGGACGUGGAGAGUCCACAACCAAUAUUUGCAAGUUGGCGGAGGAGAGAGGCUUUAUGCACAUUUGUGUAAAUAGUGGCGUCUUAUAUCUGUGCGUAGGAUCAGGCAUUUUCCAGCCGUCUAUUUUGCUGAGUUGCUAAAUGAGAAGGUCCAUCUGCACUAACUGGAAUCACUCGUCUGUAGAAGCUGCUUGGAAAAAAGGGAGAAAUGAAUGGAAAAAGGAAUGACUCAAUGCAUCCCCAAAUGUUGUAUUUAAAAGCAUAAUUAAUGUUUAAUAUGGAUGGAUGGAUGAAAUAUUUUGUUUACUGUC